rnacentral:lncRNA from 1 species
GUCAUUAUCUGCGGAUAUAAAUGGAUAGUAAGAGAAAUAGAGAAAUGCAAAGCAGACAUGUGAGAUAGCGAGAUUCAUAAUCCGAUAGCGAGAUUCAUAAUCCGCUUCGGUUUGCUUGGCUUUGAAAGGAGACUACCAAACUAGACACAAUUUAAAAUGUAAGAUCUUUAUUGAUCUUUAUAUGUUUUUUUUUUUUUCCUUUCUUUCUUUUUCAAAACAAAUUAAAAGCCGUAGCUACAUUUAUUUUCUUUUUGUCAAAAAACUAAAUUGUAAAUCAGAAAUUCAGAGAAUGUUUUUUUUUUAAAGGUCUCA